rnacentral:rRNA from 1 species
UACGUAGGGCGGCAAGCGUUUAUCCGGAAUUAUUGGGCGUAAAGAGCUCGUAGGCGGUUUGUCGCGUCUGCUGUGAAAGACCGGGGGCUCAACUCCGGUUCUGCAGUGGGUACGGGCAGACUAGAGUGAUGUAGGGGGAGACUGGAAUUCCUGGUGUAGCGGUGAAAUGCGCAGAUAUCAGGAGGAACACCGAUGGCGAAGGCAGGUCUCUGGGCAUUAACUGACGCUGAGGAGCGAAAGCAUGGGGAGCGAACAGG